rnacentral:lncRNA from 1 species
AUCAUCAACAACAUCGACGGCAGCGGUGCUGGCGAAGGGGGCCCGUCUGAGAAGGGCCUAAGAGUCUCCAUUGACUCCAUUAGGGAGAGUUUACGGCAGUUCCAGGAGAGACCAGAACGGGUCCCGCGGCUUCGAUUCCAAAGAGUUCUGGGAAUCAGGAUAAUAAAAUUUGAGCCCAAAUUCGGACUCGGGCCCGGCC